GACUCCGUGGCGCAAUGGAUAGCGCGUCGGACUUCUAGUGGUUUGAAGAUGUAAUUCGGAGGUUGUGGGUUCGAGUCCCACCGGAGUCG
rnacentral:tRNA from 1 species